UCGAAAGAAAGGCAGCACAGCUAGCCCAGGCAAUGGCUGGAUGAAGUCACAGAGCUUCCAGUUCUAACGCUCUGCAUCGGAACUGCUGCUGAUACAAUGAAACAAAGUUAAUGAUUUAUUCUGUGAAGCUUUGAACACUCACUGACUCAGAAUGGAGAAUUUUCAGUUUAACAAAGCAAACACUCAAUAAAUAUUAUUGGAUAUGAAAUUUGUUAAUCUGCACUUCCCCUGUUUGGAGAUAACCAUAUUUUCUGCUGCCCCAUUUGACAGAACUCCAACCUCUAGCAUUUCAAUGUUAAUCUGAAAGGGUUGUCAUUUGAAAUGGACAAAGGAAAGAAAAGACAGUUCGGAGUUGAAAAGGAGAAGUGCGGCAGCCUGGGAGGGUUUGUUAUGCUUGGCAAUGAGGAGAUGAUCAGAAGGUCGGAAGCCUGGCCUCCGUCUGUGCAGAGAGCGCGGGCCCAGCAUACAGAUGGCAGGUCGGUGUCUGAGAGCCCAGCCUCAGCCUGGAGCCCGUGGGCAAGGAGAGGGCACCAAAUGAAGAACUGACGCAGCUCCAAUGAGUGGAGGAACACCAGGUUCUUAGUCUCCAGUCGAAUUAGAUAAAAUGACACAGACACACGUGGAGUGGUUUUGAGAGACAGGACUAGCUGGAUUUCCUAGGCCGACUAAGAAUCCCUAAGCCUAGCUGUGAAGGUGACGGCUUCCACCUUUAAACACGGGGCUUGCAACUUAGCUCACACCCAGCCAAUCAGAUAGUAAAGACAGCUCACUAAAAUGCUAAUUAGGCAAAAACAGGAGGUAAAGAAAUAGCCAAUCAUCCAUCACCUGAGAGCACAGCGGGAGGGAGAAUGAUCAGGAUAUAAACUCAGGCAUUCGAGCCAGCAACGGCUACCCUCUUUGGGUCCCCUCCCUUUGUAUGGGA
rnacentral:lncRNA from 10 species